UGCCAAAGUUGGCGGGCAGCUGCACAGUGGCAUAGAAAACUGUGCCAACAUCGCCAAAGCCCUCGGCCGCGCCGCUCUGGCGAGGCACUUGGACGAAAUCCCAAUUUGUGGCGUCAAAGAUCUGGCUUUCAGGGAUCUUGGGAUCCUCCGACACGAACUGAGGCAGUCACACAAAUGAGAUCAGUCACACAGCUGGCUAGAUGUCCUUGGGACCCGUCAGGUUUUAUGGAAUUACAGCGGGUUCCACAAAUGAAGUAACAUUCGAUGGGGACUUGGGUAAGAGAGCAAGGAAAUGUGGGAGUACCUGGAGAGUAAGCCUCGGCUUGAAGCCCCUUUCCUUGGACAUGUCGCGGUGGGUGGCGAUCUCAAUCUUCACAUCAAUGCUGCCUUG
rnacentral:lncRNA from 1 species